GUGCUUGCUUUGGCAGCACAUGUUCAAAAAUUGGAAUGAUACAGAGGAGAUUAGCACAGCUUCUGCGCAAGGAUGACACGCAAAUUCGUGAAGCCAUUUAUAUUUUU
ensembl:snRNA U6 U6 spliceosomal RNA